UCGUUGGGUAGGGGAGCGUUCUGUAAGCCUGCGAAGGUGGCCUGUGAGGGUUGCUGGAGGUAUCAGAAGUGCGAAUGCUGACAUAAGUAACGAUAAAGCGGGUGAAAAGCCCGCUCGCCGGAAGACCAAGGGUUCCUGUCCAACGUUAAUCGGGGCAGGGUGAGUCGACCCCUAAGGCGAGGCCGAAAGGCGUAGUCGAUGGGAAACGGGUUAAUAUUCCCGUACUUGGUGUUACUGCGAAGGGGGGACGGAGAAGGCUAUGUUGGCCGGGCGACGGUUGUCCCGGUUUAAGCGUGUAGGUGUGUGUUCCAGGUAAAUCCGGUUCACUUUAACACUGAGGCGUGAUGACGAGGCACUACGGUGCUGAAGCAACAAAUGCCCUGCUUCCAGGAAAAGCCUCUAAGCAUCAGGUAACAUCAAAUCGUACCCCAAACCGACACAGGUGGUCAGGUAGAGAAUACCAAGGCGCUUGAGAGAACUCGGGUGAAGGAACUAGGCAAAAUGGUGCCGUAACUUCGGGAGAAGGCACGCUGACAUGUAGGUGAAGUGAUUUACUCAUGGAGCUGAAGUCAGUCGAAGAUACCAGCUGGCUGCAACUGUUUAUUAAAAACACAGCACUGUGCAAACACGAAAGUGGACGUAUACGGUGUGACGCCUGCCCGGUGCCGGAAGGUUAAUUGAUGGGGUCAGCGCAAGCGAAGCUCCUGAUCGAAGCCCCGGUAAACGGCGGCCGUAACUAUAACGGUCCUAAGGUAGCGAAAUUCCUUGUCGGGUAAGUUCCGACCUGCACGAAUGGCGUAAUGAUGGCCAGGCUGUCUCCACCCGAGACUCAGUGAAAUUGAACUCGCUGUGAAGAUGCAGUGUACCCGCGGCAAGACGGAAAGACCCCGUGAACCUUUACUAUAGCUUGACACUGAACAUUGAGCCUUGAUGUGUAGGAUAGGUGGGAGGCUUUGAAGUGUGGACGCCAGUCUGCAUGGAGCCGACCUUGAAAUACCACCCUUUAAUGUUUGAUGUUCUAACGUGGACCCGUGAUCCGGGUUGCGGACAGUGUCUGGUGGGUAGUUUGACUGGGGCGGUCUCCUCCUAAAGAGUAACGGAGGAGCACGAAGGUUGGCUAAUCCUGGUCGGACAUCAGGAGGUUAGUGCAAUGGCAUAAGCCAGCUUGACUGCGAGCGUGACGGCGCGAGCAGGUGCGAAAGCAGGUCAUAGUGAUCCGGUGGUUCUGAAUGGAAGGGCCAUCGCUCAACGGAUAAAAGGUACUCCGGGGAUAACAGGCUGAUACCGCCCAAGAGUUCAUAUCGACGGCGGUGUUUGGCACCUCGAUGUCGGCUCAUCACAUCCUGGGGCUGAAGUAGGUCCCAAGGGUAUGGCUGUUCGCCAUUUAAAGUGGUACGCGAGCUGGGUUUAGAACGUCGUGAGACAGUUCGGUCCCUAUCUGCCGUGGGCGCUGGAGAACUGAGGGGGGCUGCUCCUAGUACGAGAGGACCGGAGUGGACGCAUCACUGGUGUUCGGGUUGUCAUGCCAAUGGCACUGCCCGGUAGCUAAAUGCGGAAGAGAUAAGUGCUGAAAGCAUCUAAGCACGAAACUUGCCCCGAGAUGAGUUCU
rnacentral:rRNA from 1 species